rnacentral:rRNA from 1 species
UACAGAGGUCCCAAGCGUUGUUCGGAUUCACUGGGCGUAAAGGGUGCGUAGGCGGUCUGGUAAGUCUGACGUGAAAUCUCCGGGCCUAACCCGGAAACUGCGUCGGAUACUAUCCGGCUAGAGGAUUGGAGGGGAGACUGGAAUACUUGGUGUAGCAGUGAAAUGCGUAGAUAUCAAGUGGAACACCAGUGGCGAAGGCGAGUCUCUGGACAAUUCCUGACGCUGAGGCACGAAAGCCAGGGGAGCAAACGGG